GAACGCUGGCGGCAUGCCUUACACAUGCAAGUCGAACGGCAGCGGACCGUUCGGGUGCCGGCGAGUGGCGAACGGGUGAGUAAUAUAUCGGAACGUACCUUCAGGUGGGGAUAACGUAGCGAAAGUUACGCUAAUACCGCAUAUUCUGUGAGCAGGAAAGCAGGGGAUCGCAAGACCUUGCGCUGAUUGAGCGGCCGAUAUCAGAUUAGCUAGUUGGUGAGGUAAAGGCUCACCAAGGCGACGAUCUGUAGCGGGUCUGAGAGGAUGAUCCGCCACACUGGAACUGAGACACGGUCCAGACUCCUACGGGAGGCAGCAGUGGGGAAUAUUGCGCAAUGGACGCAAGUCUGACGCAGCAAUACCGCGUGAGUGAGGAAGGCCUUCGGGUUGUAAAGCUCUGUCAGGGUGGAAAAAUGGCAAGUGGUCUAAUAGGCCGCUUGAUUGAUGGUACACCCAAAGGAAGCACCGGCUAACUUCGUG
rnacentral:rRNA from 1 species